AGUGUAUGUGGUGGAUGCCUUGGCGAUUACAGGCGAUGAAGGACGUCGCAGCCUGCGAAAAGCCGUGGGGAGCUGGCAAGCGAGCACUGAUCCACGGAUGUCCGAAUGAGGGAACUCACCCGCAAGGGUAUCUUGAAGUGAAUACAUAGCUUCAAGAGGCGAACGCAGCGAACUGAAACAUCUAAGUAGCUGCAGGAAAAGAAAUCAACCGAGAUUCUGAAAGUAGCGGCGAGCGAAAUUGGAAGAGCCUGCAAGUGAUAUUGAAUUCGAUACUGGAACGGUCUGGAAAGUCCGGCUACAGAGGGUGACAGCCCCGUACGGGAAAUUGGGUUCAAGGUACUGAGCUUGCGAGAAGUAGAGCGGGACACGUGAAAUCCUGCUCGAAGAUGGGGGGACCAUCCUCCAAGGCUAAAUACUCGUAAUCGACCGAUAGCGAACCAGUACUGUGAAGGAAAGGCGAAAAGAACCCCGGGAGGGGAGUGAAAUAGAUCCUGAAACCGCAUACAUACAAACAGUAGGAGCCCGCAAGGGUGACUGCGUACCUUUUGCAUAAUGGGUCAGCGACUUACGUUCAAUGGCAAGCUUAACCGAGUAGGGGAGGCGCAGCGAAAGCGAGUCCGAACAGGGCGACAUGAGUCGUUGGGCGUAGACCCGAAACCAGAUGAUCUAUCCAUGGCCAGGCUGAAGGUGUGGUAACACACACUGGAGGGCCGAACCGACUAGUGUUGCAAAAUUAGCGGAUGAGCUGUGGAUAGGGGUGAAAGGCUAAACAAAUCUGGAGAUAGCUGGUUCUCCCCGAAAACUAUUGAGGUAGUGCCUCGUGUAUGGCUCCAGGGGGUAGAGCACUGUUAUGGCUAGGGGGACAUGGCGUCUUACCAAACCAUGGCAAACUCCGAAUACUUGGAAGUCUGAGCACGGGAGACAGAGCACCGGGUGCUAACGUCCGGACUCAAAAGGGAAACAACCCAGACCGCCGGCUAAGGUCCCUAAUAUUGACUAAGUGGAAAACGAAGUGGGAAGGCUAAGACAGUCAGGAAGUUGGCUUAGAAGCAGCCAUCCUUCAAAGAAAGCGUAAUAGCUCACUGAUCGAGUCUUCCUGCGCGGAAGAUGUAACGGGGCUAAGUCAAUAACCGAAGCCGCGGAUUCGCAGCAAUGCGAGUGGUAGGGGAGCGUUCUGUAAGCCUGCGAAGGCGGAUCUGCGAGGACCGCUGGAGGUAUCAGAAGUGCGAAUGCUGACAUGAGUAACGUUAAAGCGGGUGAAAAGCCCGCUCGCCGCAAGCCCAAGGUUUCCUGCUCUACGUUCAUCGGAGCAGGGUGAGUCGGCCCCUAAGGUCAGGCUGAGAAGCGUAGCUGAUGGGAAGCUGGUUAAUAUUCCAGCACCGAUUUCAAGUGCGAAGGGGGGACGGAGUCCUGAAGGUCAUCCGGGUGUUGGAUAUCCCGGUUUACGAGCGUAGGAGGUUGACAGGCAAAUCCGUCAACGGAUCUCCAAGGCGAAGGAUCGAGGUUGAGAGAUCAACUGAAGUGACUGAAUGGGCUUCCAGGAAAAGCCUCUAAGCAUCAGCUUGGAAUUGACCGUACCGCAAACCGACACUGGUGGGCGAGCUGAAUAUGCUCAGGCGCUUGAGAGAACUCAGGAGAAGGAACUCGGCAAAUUGACACCGUAACUUCGGGAUAAGGUGUGCCUUUGUAGUGUGAAGAGAGAAACACUCCGAGCAUGAAGAGGCCUCAGAGAAUCGGUGGCUGCAACUGUUUACUAAAAACACAGCACUCUGCAAAGAUGAAAGUCGACGUAUAGGGUGUGAUGCCUGCCCGGUGCUGGAAGAUUAAUUGAUGGGGUGCAAGCUCCUGAUCGAAGUCCCAGUAAACGGCGGCCGUAACUAUAACGGUCCUAAGGUAGCGAAAUUCCUUGUCGGGCAAGUUCCGACCUGCACGAAUGGCAUAAUGAUGGCCACACUGUCUCCUCCUGAGACUCAGUGAAGUUGAAAUGUUUGUGAUGAUGCAAUCUCCCCGCGGCUAGACGGAAAGACCCCAUGAACCUUUACUGCAGCU
rnacentral:rRNA from 1 species